rnacentral:rRNA from 1 species
CUGAAGACUCUACUUGACUAGCUGAGAGGAGGUGCAUGGCCGUCGUCAGUUUCGUACUGUGAAGCAUCCUGUUAAGUCAGGCAACGAGCGAGACCCACGCCAACAGUUGCCAGCUCGUCCUCCGGGAUGGUGGGGACACUGUUGGGACCGCCUCUGCUAAAGAGGAGGAAGGAAUGGGCAACGGUAGGUCAGCAUGCCCCGAAUUAUCUGGGCUACACGCGGGCUACAAUGGGUGGGACAAUGGGUAUCGACACCGAAAGGUGAGGGCAAUCUCCUAAACCCACCCGUAGUUCGGAUUGUGGGCUGCAACUCGCCCACAUGAAGCUGGAAUCUGUAGUAAUCGUGUUUCAAAAUAGCACGGUGAAUAUGUCCCUGCUCCUU